UGCCAGCCGCCGCGGUAACACGUAAGGUGCAAGCGUUAUCCGGAAUCACUGGGUUUAAAGGGCGCGUAGGCGGCAAAGUUAGUCAGAGGUGAAAGCUCACAGCUAAACUGUGGAAUUGCCUUUGAUACUGCUUAGCUUGAAUUAGGUUGAGGUUAGCGGAAUGUGGCAUGUAGCGGUGAAAUGCAUAGAUAUGCCAUAGAACACCAAUUGCGAAGGCAGCUGGCUAGACCUAUAUUGACGCUGAGGCACGAAAGCGUGGGGAGCGAACAGGAUUAGAUA
rnacentral:rRNA from 1 species